rnacentral:snRNA from 1 species
AUAUUUACCUGCCAGGGGAGAUACCAUGAUCACGAAGGUGGUUUUCCCAGGGCGAGGUUUAUCCAUUGCACUCCGGAUGUGCUACCACCUGCAAUUUCCCCAAAUGUGGGAAACUCAACUGCAUGAUUUGUGGUAGUGGGGGACUGCGUUCGCGCUCUCCCUCA